UACGGGGGGGGAAAGCGUUGUUCGGAAUUACUGGGCGUAAAGGGCUCGUAGGCGGCCAACUAGGUCAGACGUGAAAUCCCUCGGCUUAACCGGGGAACUGCAUCUGAUACUGGAUGGCUUGAGAUUGGGAGAGGGAUGCGGAAUUCCAGGUGUAGCGGUGAAAUGCGUAGAUAUCUGGAGGAACACCGGUGGCGAAGGCGGCAUCCUGGACCAACACUGACGCUGAGGAGCGAAAGCCAGGGGAGCAAACGGG
rnacentral:rRNA from 1 species